rnacentral:rRNA from 1 species
UACGGGGGGAGCAAGCGUUGUUCGGAUUUACUGGGCGUAAAGGGCGCGUAGGCGGCCACCGCAAGUCGACUGUGAAAUCUCCGGGCUUACCCCGGAAAGGUCAGCCGAUACUGCGGGGCUAGAGUGCAGAAGGGGGCAACUGGAAUUCUCGGUGUAGCGGUGAAAUGCGUAGAUAUCGAGAGGAACACCUGCGGCGAAGGCGGGUUGCUGGGCUGACACUGACGCUGAGGCGCGAAAGCUAGGGGGAGCGAACGGG